ensembl:lncRNA
AUGCAUUUUUUUCAUUUGAUCAAAAAUAAAAUAAAACAGCAAUAUUGUGUAAUAUUAUUGGCAGAAAAAACAGAGGUACUGAGUGAAGACCUGCUGCAGGUGGAGAAGCGUUUAGAUCUGGUAAAGCAGGUCUCUCAUAGCACACAUAAGAAGCUGACCGCCUGUCUGCAGGGACAACAAGGCGCCGAUUUAGACAAGAGAUCAAAAAAGUUGCCCCUGACGAUACUUGCUCAGUGUAUGGUGGAGGGAGCGGCUGUGUUAGGAGACGACUCUCUUCUUGGUAAGAUGCUGAAGCUCUGUGGUGAGACAGAGGAGAAGUUGGCCCAAGAGCUGCUCGUCUUUGAGCUUCAGAUUGAAAGAGAUGUUGUGGAGCCUCUGUAUGUGCUGGCUGAGGUGAUGAGCAUUAACAGCAAACUUGUCUUGGACAUGGAUUCUGCGAGGACACGGUGGCAACAGUCAUACAAAUCGUCAGGUCACCCCAGUAAUGUGCAGCAGGGCGGAGCUAAGGCGGAUUCCUUGAGAGAGGAAAUGGAAGAGACGGCCAAUCGGAUGGAGAUCUGCAGGGACCAGUUAUCAGCGGAUAUGUACAACUUUGUGGCCAAAGAAAUAGACUAUGCAAACUACUUUCAAACGCUCAUAGAAGUUCAGGCGGAGUAUCACAGGAAGUCUUUGGAGAUUCUGCAGAGUGUGCUGCCACAGAUCAAAGCUCACCAGGAGGCCUGGAUAGAGAAGCCAUCGUAUGGAAAGGCCCUAGAGGAACAUCUAGCCAUCAGUGGCAGGGAGAUUGCGUUUCCUAUCGAGGCGUGUGUCACCAUGCUGCUCGAAUGUGGCAUGGAGGAAGAGGGUUUAUUUCGGGUGGCCCCCUCAGCCUCCAAGCUGAAGAAACUGAAGGCAUCACUGGACUGCGGGGUCCUGGAUGUGCAGGAGUACUCGGCCGACCCACAUGCCAUCGCAGGAGCCUUGAAGUCUUAUCUUCGUGAACUUCCUGAACCUCUAAUGACCUUUGAACUCUAUGAUGAAUGGAUUCAAGCUUCAAAUAUUCAAGAUAUGGAUAAAAGACUCCAAGCCCUUUUGUGUACAUGUGAGAAACUACCAGCAGACAGUCUAAACAAUCUCAGAUAUUUAAUAAAAUUCUUAGCCAAACUCACGGAGCAUCAAGACGCUAAUAAAAUGACGCCAGGUAAUAUUGCAAUAGUUCUUGGACCCAACCUGCUGUGGACACAUUCAGAAGGGAACAUGACGGAAAUGAUGACCACCAUGUCCCUGCAAAUCGUCGGCAUCAUUGAGCCGAUCAUCCAGCACGCUGACUGGUUCUUCCCUGGAGGUUCGAUAGAAAGAGUCGUGAAAACAUAUUCACACAUACACACGAGCGUGUUCUCCUGUGAGAUUUGGACUCAUUUGUCUUUGCUAUUCUUAGAUAUUGAGUUCAAUCUGACAGGCAGCUACGGCAGCCCGGUCCACACCAACCACAACUCAAACUACAGCUCUAUGCCCUCACCCGAUAUGGACCAAUCAGAGCGCAAGCAGCAGCAUGACCAGAGCCGACGCCCACUCAGUGUUGCUACUGACAACAUGAUGCUGGAAUUCUACAAGAAGGAUGGGUAGGUUGUUCUGCACUCUUGGCUCUGUCUGCCUCCUCCAUCUCUCCUCUUUUCCUUUUCCCUCCCACACUCUUCCUUUAGCUUCUCAUACCAUCCCUAAUCAUAAAGGGACAGUUCACACACAAAUGUCAUAAUUUACUCACUCGUUCCAAACCUGUACGACUUUCUUUUUUCCAUGAAACAAAAGGAACAUUUUUGAAGAAUAUCCUGGCAAUCCUCGCAAUAUGGCUUAGUGUGAAUAUCAAAUCAAAAAAGGCUGCAAAAGUUAAUUAAAUACAUGUAUGUGCUGUGGGUUUCAGAGUGAAGCACUGCACUGUGUUUAUUUAGACACGAGCAGCUCACGAUCCAGUGUUUUUGGUUUCUCAAAGCAGCUUGGUUCACCGUAAAUGCAUCUGCUUUCAGUUUGAGUCGCUUAAAAUGUGCAUUUGGGAACACAACAUGCGUCAUAUUUUUGUCAAUAAAAGAGAUGCUUUUUGACGAGGCUUUUUUGCU